rnacentral:rRNA from 1 species
GCAAGUCGAACGAGAACUAGUUCAAUCGCAAGAUUGAACUAGGGACAGUGGCGAACGGGUGCGUAACACGUGAGAAACCUGCCCUGGAGAUCGGGAUAGCCCGAGGAAACUCGGAUUAAUACCGGAUAUGCUCACAGGACCACAUGGUCCAGUGAGGAAACAGUCCGCUGCUCCAGGAUGGUCUCGCGGCCUAUCAGCUUGUUGGUGAGGUAACGGCUCACCAAGGCUCUGACGGGUAGCUGGUCUGAGAGGACGAUC